GCCAGGCGUGGUGGCGCAUGACUGUAAUCCCAGGUACUCGGGAGGCUGAGGCAGGAGAAUUGCUUCAAACCGGCAGGUGGAGGUUGCAGUGAGCCGAGAUCGUGCCACUGCACUCCAGCCUGGGCAGCAAGAGUGAGACACUCCGUCUCAAAAAAAAAAAAAAAAACCCAAUAUAAAACAACUGUUUUUUUUUUUUUUUCCGAGACGGAGUGUCUCACUUUCUUGCCCAGGUUGGAGUGCGGUGACACGAUCUCGGCUCACUGCAAUCUCCACCUCCCGGUUUGAAGCAAUUCUCCUGCCUGA
ensembl:misc_RNA Metazoa_SRP Metazoan signal recognition particle RNA